rnacentral:rRNA from 1 species
CCUACGGGGGGCUGCAGUGGGAAUAUUGCACAAUGGGCGCAAGCCUGCUGAUGCCAUGCCGCGUGUGUGAAGAAGGCCUUCGGGUUGUAAAGCACUUUCAGCGGGGAGGAAGGCGGUGAGGUUAAUAACCUCAUCGAUUGACGUUACCCGCAGAAGAAGCACCGGCUAACUCCGUGCCAGCAGCCGCGGUAAUACGGAGGGUGCAAGCGUUAAUCGGAAUUACUGGGCGUAAAGCGCACGCAGGCGGUCUGUCAAGUCGGAUGUGAAAUCCCCGGGCUCAACCUGGGAACUGCAUUCGAAACUGGCAGGCUAGAGUCUUGUAGAGGGGGGUAGAAUUCCAGGUGUAGCGGUGAAAUGCGUAGAGAUCUGGAGGAAUACCGGUGGCGAAGGCGGCCCCCUGGACAAAGACUGACGCUCAGGUGCGAAAGCGUGGGGAGCAAACAGGAUUAGAUACCCGUGUAGUC